GCUACAAAUUCACAGUUCAAAUCAAACUUGGAGCCCUGAACUCUUCUCAGAACCCAGCUCCUACAGUCCUAUGGAGUGUACUCUUGCCUGUGACUCUGGGAGAAGACUCUAAGCGAAGUCAUUCUUCGAGCCUAAGGGGUUGGCAUUGUGGCGUUGUAGGUUAAGCACCUGCCUGUGGUUCCAGCAUCCCACAUGGGCACUGGUUUGUAGCCCGGCUGCUCCUCUUCUGAUCCAGCUCUCUCUGCUCAUGCCCUUGGGAAGGGAUAAUCAGAAUGGAUCUUAAAGAAUAAAUACAACUGCCUCCAGUGCUGGCAUUCCAUAUGGGCGCUGGUUCGAGUCCCGGUUGCGCCACUUCUGAUCCAGCUCUCUGCUAUGGCCUGGGAAAGCAGUAGAAGGUGGUCCAA